CUCUCUCUCUCUUUUCCCCCAAGAAAGUGCACCACAUGAAGAAGAACGUGUGGGCGUUGUAAGAAUGAAUGAUUUUCAAGCUGUAAGGAUGUUAUGGCCUCGUGUACCCUAGGAAAUGUACUUGGUGCUGACGAUUGGUGUCAACAGUGACUGUAGCUGAACAGCGCUGAAAACGUUUUAAGCCCUUCUGUCCCCCAGCUCACACAGUAUUCAGCAAUGUUUCAGGAAGCUCUUGGAGGUCUUACUGUGCAGAGAAUAGACUCCAUACAGCAUACUAAGCACUACACCUCUCUGUCUGGCUGAAAUUGUGUGUGAACCAGGCGCAAUUGAAAAAUACUUUGUUAAGUUCAGAUGUUUUAAAUAAACACACGGAGG
rnacentral:lncRNA from 1 species